rnacentral:rRNA from 1 species
CGGGGUGCACCAGGCGCGAAAACUUUACAAUGCUGGCAACAGCGAUAAGGGGACCUCGAGUGCCAGGAUACAAUCUUGGCUGUCGCGAUGCCUAAAAAGCAUUGCAUAGCAAGGGCCGGGCAAGACCGGUGCCAGCCGCCGCGGUAACACCGGCGGCUCGAGUGGUAACCGCUAUUAUUGGGUCUAAAGGGUUUGUAGCCGGCCGGAUAAGUCUUUUGGGAAAUCCAGCUGCUCAACAGUUGGGCUUUCAGAAGAUACUGUUCGGCUCGAGACCGGGAGAGGUGAGAGGUACUUCAGGGGUAGGGGUGAAAUCUUGUAAUCCUUGAAGGACCACCAGUGGCGAAGGCGUCUCACCAGAACGGAUCUGACGGCAAGGGACGAAAGCUAGGGGCACGAACCGGAUUAGAUACCCGGGUAGUCCUAGCCGUAAACGAUACUCGCUAGGUGUCAGCCACGGUGCGACCGUGGUUGGUGCCGUAGGGAAGCCGCGAAGCGAGCCACCUGGGAAGUACGGCCGCAAGGCUGAAACUUAAAGGAAUUGGCGGGGGAGCAC